rnacentral:rRNA from 1 species
AUGUUCAGCCCCAACACUUGUGAUACUGUCAGAAAUCCUGUUGUCAGUACGUUGGGAAUACUUAGAAAAAAUUGGAAUGAGAAAUACCUAGGCCAGCCUGUCCAUGUGGGUCGCUCUAAAAGGAGGGCUUUCAACUAUAUCAAACGCAACAUGUGUGGCUGUGUGUAUGGUUGGCAGGAGAAACUUCUUGCUAAGGAGAGUAAGGACGUUUUGGUGAAGGCCGUGAAACAAGCCACUCCCACAUUUGCUAUGUCGUGCUUCGACCUAGCAAAAACAUUUUGUGCAGAAGAAAACACUCUCCUUGGUAAGUUUUGGUGGAGCCAACAAGACAAGCAAAAUGCAAUGCAUUGGAUUAGCCGGGGAAGUUAUAGCAACACAAGGAGAUGGGUGAAUUGGGAUUUCGGGAUAUUCGUAUGUUUAACUUGUCCAUGUAGUCGAGGCAACGAUGGAGGCUCCUUCAAAAUCUAA